UUGGGUUGGCUGAAAGGUUCAUUUGGGUUUUUUGGAACAGUUACAGGAAAACCCGAAUGAACUUUUUGGCCUACCCA
rnacentral:miRNA from 1 species